rnacentral:lncRNA from 1 species
UAAUAUUAGUGACAGUUUCAGACUUUAGAUCAACUUAUAUUACAACAACGAGUUUGAAAACCACUUGAUCAUGUUCAAAUUUACUGCAAUUGUAUUGCGAACUUGAAAUACAAAAAAUUUUCUUCACUAGGGUCACUAGUUGUAAAAAUGUUGGUAUUUCAGCCGGGUAUGUGGCGCGUACCUGUAAUCCUGCUUCUGGGAGGCUUGGUGUAGUGGAUGGCUUGAGGCUGGGAGUCCUGCUGGAUCGUCGCUUGCGUCGAACAGGUGUCCGCACUAAGCUUGGCAUCAACAUGGAUCGGUUGGAGGAAUCCGGCAGAUCCAGGUUAUCUAAGGAGGAGCGAAUCGGGCCAGGAGGGAAACCGAGCAGCCAAAAGUUCCCGUGUCGGGCAGUAGUGGGAUCGCGCCCGUGAGUAGGCGCCUUUCAGUAGCCCAGCCAAUAAAGUCACACCUACAUCUUUUUUCGUCUUUUUCUAAUCAAAUUUCAUAGAUUUUGUAUUUUGUUGACUUUAUUUCACCAUAAAAUUUGUUUUCCGAAUUUUCAGCAUCAGUCGGGAACAUCGGCAUCGCACUGUGACAAGCUAUAGCUAAAUUGAAUCAAUCGUUCUCGUAGUUGGCAGUACGGGAAGGGAACAAUAAGGCCUCAUGAGUCCUUGCAGCAGCAGAAUUUGAUUUAUUUAAUGUUACAUUUUUACUGAUUGAAAAAAUUGCUAAUCAAAUUUUCGCUAUUAUUUCAGUAUAGUACAUCAGCAAAGAAAAAAAGUCGGCUAUUUAAAAGUUUGUGGCCUUCUGAUUUAGGAAUUCUGUGCCGAUUUCUUGGCCCAGUUAGUGGGCUGAAUCGAGGAUUGAGCUGAAUUCUGUGCCGGGCUGGAUCAAGAAAUGCGCUUUUGCCAAUACUAUCCUGCUGUCCAGCCAAGUAUUGAUUUGACUUGGCAAUUUCCCUCAAGGUAACUUUUCUUAUAUCUUUCCUCCGAGAGUGACAAUAUACCGGAAGUUGUGCUAGUCACGUACUCACGGCCCAUAUCAGCCGAUGGAUAAAUUUCGUACCAAUGGCCAAUGAUACCUCGAGGAAAUUCCCCACGUCUUGGAAAUUAAUAAAUUAUUUCUUUGGUGCGCCAGCUCCCCUGAUCAUGUAUUGAUGAAUUAAAACUAAAAAUGAUUGGAAAAGGAAAUGACAAUAAAUCAAGUGUGGUGAAUUUCAAGUAAUUUAAUAUUUCAAUGGUUAUCUGGCAUGUUUGCUAUGCGACUCCAUCCUAUCUCCUAUCCCAAGCUUUCGUUACACGCGAAUUAUGUACGAAAUAUCCUAAUAAUAAUAAUACACUGUUAAUAAAAAGAAA